UACGUAGGUGGCAAGCGUUGUCCGGAUUUAUUGGGGUUAAAGGGUGCGUAGGCGGCUUUGUAAGUCAGUGGUGAAAUACGGUAGCUUAACUAUCGAGGUGCCAUUGAUACUGCAGAGCUUGAGUACAGAUGAGGUAGGCGGAAUUGACGGUGUAGCGGUGAAAUGCUUAGAUAUCGUCAAGAACACCUAUAGCGAAGGCAGCUUACUAGGCUGUAACUGACGCUGAGGCACGAAAGUGUGGGGAUCAAACAGG
rnacentral:rRNA from 1 species